GGGUUCUGGGGGAGCCAUUGGUCCCUGUCAGGCCAGCCAAGGUUCAGCCCUGAGCUCCCCCAGACCAGGUACAUGCUGGCCAGGCCUGUGGAGGUGAAACCAGCAAAAGCAGACCUAGGGAGCCCAAGAGGAUACCCCAGGCCACUCAAGACCAUGACACCUGCCAAGCCAACUUGCAGGGUGGAAGUGAGCACUCACCCUCAAGGGCCAUGGCUCACCACCCUCAAGAAACGUGCAACUAGGAGCCCACACUGGAUGAGACGGUCCAGCACCUCCUGACAGUAGCAGUAGGAAGACUGGCAGGGCUGGGGAGAAAGGCAUCCACGUGGCCUCAGGAGAGCCAGGCGCUGGGCAGGGGCCUGGCCAGAGGCGAGGCCAGACCAGAUCUACUGGACACCGUAGGGUCAGUGCUAAGGCAAGCAUGGGCCCCUCCUAUACCCAAGAAGGGGAGGCCUAGGGCUGAGCUGGGUUGGCAGGAGAGGCCUGACCUGCAGCAGCAGCAGGUCCUGCGGCAGCAAGUGCAACAGGAGCAGGAUCUGGCGGUACAGCUCCUUCUGGCUCAGCAGCUCGAUGCCUUGCAGCUCACAGGGCCCCUCAGGCGGCACCCUGCCCGCCAGCAGCCCCCGCACAGCACAGGCUGGGGGAGGAGGGGGCCAGUGGUCAGGAAGAGAAGCCACUCCCCUCACCCCUACACACAUCCCACCCACCCCAAGCCCUGGGGACUCACCACCCACAGCCUCGCUCAGGAAGGCGGGCAGCAGCCCAGCGCUCAGGCGGGCCAGGUGUAUGAGGCCUGGGCCGGGCCGAGGAACCACCAGCAAGUCCCCAUGAUGGACGCGCAGCAGGGCCACGUGCGCCCGCAGCAGGCUCAGCGUGUGCUGCACCAGGCACCGCAGCUGCCCUGAGAAGCCCACGUCAAAGCCACGCAGCAGCGUCUCCUCUGUCAGCCAGGAGAACUCCCCCAGGAGCUGUGACAGGAGCACGCCCUGGGUGGGCAGUGAGGGGCUGAGCGGGAGGGCCGCACCUCCUCCCCAGCCCCCACCGCACCGUGCCCUACCUUCCGGUGCUUGAAUAGCAGCAGCGUCGCCGUGAUGGCCGUGCUCAUCACCGCCGAGCUCGCCACGCAGGCUGGGGCCGGGGGUGGGGGAUGCUGGUCAGGGGCCAAGGCCCAGCAGCCUGGGCCCUUCAUCACCAAGCAGGUCUUUCCAGCCAAGGGCAUACCUCCCCAGCAGCCCCUCAGACACCCCCCCCAACUCCACCCCUGGGAAAGGGAGAACAGGCUUGGUCCUUGGGCCCCACCUUCCCCAGUGGAGAACUGGCAUUUAUCAAGUAUAUGUUGAGCCAAGCUGGGAGCUCAGAGUCCUUCCCUGCCAAUUGUAGGCCUACUAGCCACCAACCCCACAGCCUCUGCCAUGGAAGGGACACUUAAGAUGGUAGUAAAGCUGUUAAGAGCC